rnacentral:misc_RNA from 1 species
GUUUUGAACGGGUUGUAGCUGGCCUCUCACGAGGCAUGUGCACGCCUGGCUCAUCCACUCUUAACCUCUGUGCACUUUAUGUAAGAGAAAAAAAUGGUGGAAGCUUCCAGGAUCUCGCGAGAGGUCUUCGGUUGAACAAGCCGUUUUUCUUUCUUAUGUUUUACUACAAACGCUUCAGUUAUAGAAUGUCAACUGUGUAUAACACAUUUAUAUAC